GACAGAGGGUGCAAACGUUGUUCGGAAUUACUGGGCGUAAAGCGCGUGUAGGCGGCUUGGCAAGUCGGGUGUGAAAGCCCCGGGCUCAACCUGGGAAGUGCACUCGAAACUGCUUGGCUUGAGUACUGGAGAGGGAAGCGGAAUUCUCGGUGUAGAGGUGAAAUUCGUAGAUAUCGGGAGGAACACCAGUGGCGAAGGCGGUUGCCUGGGGCUUUGCUGACGCUGAUGGCGCGAAAGCGUGGGGACGAUCCGG
rnacentral:rRNA from 1 species